rnacentral:rRNA from 1 species
GGCUCUUUGAUAAAAGUAGAUAAAGAGUCAGACCUGCCCAGUGACAUAUAGUUUAACGGCCGCGGUACUUUGACCGUGCAAAGGUAGCAUAAUCAAUUGUCUUAUAAUUAAAGACUUGUAUGAAAGGUUUAACGAGAAUUUGACUGGCUCCUACCAAUUAAGAUGAAUUUAACCUUUAAGUGCAAAGGCUUAAAUAAUAUUGAAAGACAAGAAGACCCUAUUGAGCUUAAAAGUUUUUAGUAGCAUAGGUAUUAUAAGCAUUUAAAUUUUAACCUACUAAUUUUUUUGGUUGGGGCGACCCUGGAACAAUUAAAGCUUCCUGAACAUUGCUGUGCUUCAAUUUUUAUGUAAUAUGAUCCAGAAUAAUUCUGAUUAUUAAAAUAAGCUACCAUAGGGAUAACAGCAUAAUCUUCUUUGAGAGCUCUAAUCGAAAAGAAGGGUUGUGACCUCGAUGUUGGACUAGAAUAUCCUAAGGGUGCAGAAGUUCUUAAAGGUU